rnacentral:rRNA from 1 species
AAGCAUAUAAGUAAGCGGAGGAAAAGAAACUAAAUAGGAUUCCCUUAGUAAUGGCGAAUGAACAGGGAUCAGCUCAGUAUGGAAAUCGGGGCUUCCCAGCCUUGAAUUGUAGUCUCAAGAGGUAUCGCCAACGGAGGCGCAGAUGUAAGCCUCUUGGAAAAGAGCAUCAAUGAGGGUGAGAAUCCCGUUUGUCAUCUGCAGUCCCCCGUGCACGGUGUAUCUUCUAAGAGUCGCGUUCCUCGGGAUUGGAGCGUAAAGUGGGUGGUAAAUUUCAUCUAAGGCUAAAUAUGGGUUCGAGACCGAUAGCAAACAAGUACCAUGAGGGAAAGAUGAAAAGGACUUUGAAAAGAGAGUUAAAAGUGCCUGAAAUUGCUGAAAGGGAAGCGAAUGGAACCAGUGCUCUUGGCGAGAUUGUUGUGCGCUAUGGUGAUUGCUGGCUGCUUCAGCGCAAGCGGGGUAGUUGGUACUGAGCCUGCCGCGCGCAGUGUUUCUUACCUUGUGCGUCACCGUCGGUUCACAGGCGAGGAUACUUCUGAGGACAUGGUAACUCUUCCACGGAGGUGUGAAUGUCUUUGGUAAUACUCGUUUGUAGACCGCUCACCUUCGGGUUACGAUGACUAAAUGGUUCUAUUCGACCCGUCUUGAAA